rnacentral:lncRNA from 1 species
CUAAUUUUGAUUGUACAAUAAGAUGAUUGAUAAGAAAGUCAAUGUGUAGAUUUCAUUUUAAAGAUAAGUAUUUUAUAAUCUGGCAUACUGUGUAAUGAGGAUUCUUAGAGACAAAAACAGGGCAUUUUGAUUGUUAAAAUUAGAAGAAAAAUGUUAAUCUUUUAUAGUUUCUGAUCUCCCUACUAAAUUUCUCCCAAAUGUUUUGUUUCAGUCAGUUUUGCAACCACUUUAGUUUUUCCACAAAUAACUUCAGUUUUUUUGCUUUAAAACACCAAGUCACAAAUUUUAAAGUAAAAAUUAGCAGCAGCAGUACUCUACUCAGUAAUUUAAAUGUGUCCCAGUGGAGAAGCAUAACUGCAAUCAAUUUGCUCACACUAACUUUAAAAAACAUUACAAAUACUCAAAACAAAGAAAAAAUUGUAGCCAAUUAUAAAAGCAAAUGCCUUGAACAUGGACCCUCCAGCGUGCUUGUCUAUUCAUCAUAUUUUACUUAGCAGCCAUGUAAGUGAGUGCACACUCACACUUAUCCCAAAUAUUCUCCUACUUUAAUGGACAUUAACUUGAAAAUAAAUCUUAAUAUUAAGUCCCAAAUAUUCUCCCAGUUGCCUACUAUAUUCUAAUUAAAUGCUAUAUCUGAUAAAAAAUUAUAGGAAGAAUAACUAAAGGUUCUACUCAGAAAAAUCAUAAAACUGAGCAGGGUUGGUAUCCAGAUCAUUUGAGAGGCCAACUUAAAAAUUUGACUGGAAUAUCUCAUUAAUUAUCAACAGGC